rnacentral:rRNA from 1 species
AUGGCGAGCAUCAGAAGUGUCUCCCCUCUCCUCGCUCCGCUCGCCGCCGCGGCCACGGUGCUCGCCGUGUUGAUGUCUGCGCCGGUGUCCGCCAGGAGCUUGCCGGAGGGCCUCCCGGACAUCAAGCCGCUGCUGUCCAACCCGUGGUCGGCGUUCCAGAACCUGUCCGGCUGCCAGUUCGGGGACCAGCGGCAGGGGCUCGCGAGGCUCAAGGACUACCUCAGCCGCUUCGGCUACCUCCCCGCGCCGCCGGCCAAGUUCAACGACAUGUUCGACGCCGACAUGGAGUCCGCCAUCCGGACCUACCAGCACAACUUCGGCCUCGAGGCCACGGGCCAGCUGGACGCGUCCACCGUCGCCAAGAUGAUGUCCCCGCGCUGCGGCGUCGCCGACAUCAUCAACGGCACCUCCGCCAUGGGCAAGACGACGGUCCACGGCCGGAACCUCUACUCCUACUUCCCGGGGUCCCCCUCGUGGCCGCGCUCCAAGAAGAGCCUCCGGUACGCCAUCACGGCGGCCACCGAGACGACCAUCGACCGGGCCACGCUGAGCAAGGUGUUCGCCAGCGCCUUCGCACGCUGGUCGGCGGCCACCACGCUCAACUUCACCGAGACGGCGUCGGCGUCCGACGCCGACAUCACCAUCGGGUUCCACUCGGGCGACCACGGCGACGGCGAGGCCUUCGACGGGCCGCUGGGCACGUUGGCGCACGCCUUCUCGCCCACCGACGGCCGGUUCCACCUGGACGCGUCGGAGGCCUGGGUGGCCGGCGGCGACGUGUCGCGCGCCUCGCUGGACGCCGCCGUCGACCUGGAGUCGGUGGCCGUGCACGAGAUCGGCCACCUGCUGGGGCUCGGCCACUCGUCGGUGGAGGGCGCCAUCAUGUACCCGACCAUCACGUCGCGCACGCAGAAGGUGGAGCUGGCCAAAGACGACGUCGACGGCAUCCAGAGCCUCUACGGCGGCAACCCCAACUUCAAGGGCGUCACGCCGCCGGCCACCAGCAGCGAGGAGACCCACAGCGCCGCCCCGCGCGCGCUCUCCGGCCCGUGGAGCGGCCUGGCCGGGGCGGCUGCGCUCGCACUAGCCUUGUCGUGCUAG